AUGCUUUAAACUUUCAAGUAAGGAAAAUGGCAAUUUGGGGUGAUGCCAGAAUCCUCACUGCUAAUGUGAGAUGAAUUUUUGAGCAGGUAAAAGUCAUCCCUGGAGUGACCCACCUACUUUGUGGAAUGCCUGGGAGCUGCAUUCUGCCCG